UACAGAGGGUGCGAGCGUUGUCCGGAAUCACUGGGCGUAAAGGGCGCGUAGGUGGCGCGGUGCGCGUGCCGUGAAAGCCCGGGGCUCAACCCCGGGUCGGCGGUGCGAACGGCCGUGCUCGAGCGUACGAGAGGCAGGCGGAAUUCCGGGUGUAGCGGUGGAAUGCGUAGAGAUCCGGAAGAACACCGGUGGCGAAGGCGGCCUGCUGGCGUACGGCUGACACUGAGGCGCGACAGCGUGGGGAGCAAACAGG
rnacentral:rRNA from 1 species